GUCUUAAGAGGGCUAUCACAAAUUUUCGAGUUUUAUACGAGUUUUGAUGCGUCAUUAUGCUUUGGAUAUAGUCACAAAAAAAAAAAACAAAAAUAAGAUUAAGAAAGUUUGAUCAUUUAUCUUGGGGCUGUUUUCAAUAAAUAUUUUAAUUUGUCCACGUACAUCAGUAAAAUCUUUGUCUCUGCAAAGUAUGUUUCAUAAAAUGUUGCUUUUGGGAAUCUUUUGAUGCUUCAGUACUACGAGGAUAUAGCAAUUUAACCAUUUAUAAAAAUGUUCAAGAUACAACUAUAUCUUGUACUUGUGCUUGCUUACACCAAUUUAUUACAGUUCAUACAGUAAUACACCAAAAAUAAUUCUAUAAAACUGAGAGUUACUGACAAUUUUCCGUACAAAACUAUAUUUUUUAUCUAUGAAAGUAUAAUCCAAAUUCAAAUAAAACAUAUUUAAUAAUUAAGGUGGUAUUGUUAUAAAGCUUGAAAAAAAAAAUUGGUCUAUUUAAAAGUAAAACAAUAUUUUAAAAUAAUUUUUGUUUGCAAUGCAAAAAUCAAUAUAAAUCUAGUGACGCGCGGUGUUCAACUUUAGUCAGCGCCAGGCGCUUACCGAGGAGGGACGUAUCGCUCGCUGUUGCGCCGCGUAAACUCGCCGGAGCUCGAAAAAUAUAGCGCAACCUGCGCAACGAACUCGUUUUGAUACUAGAUAAUGAAAGCAUAUUUAAUUCAGAUUAUCAGACUCAAUCGGAUACCAGUACAAAUAAUAUGGUAAGUAUUUUUUGUCACUCGCAACAGACAUAUUUGUUUUAAUAAACUAUUUACAUUCCUAGUUUUUAUUGUUGCAGGAAAAUGAAGAUACAAUACAUGGAAGACGAAUUAUAGAUUUUAGUUUUUUUAUAAAUCAAUUACUUAUACCUAAUUGAUAAACAUGGUGAAAAGUUUGGUUGUCGAUUAAAUAAUUUAAAAAUUGUAAACGAUUAUUUGUUUAUUGUAACUCAAUCGAGCUAUUCUAGGUUAUAAAAUUCAUCGGUACAAAUAAUAUUUCAUAAACUAUAAAACCAAUAAACUAUUUCGAAAAUAAAAGUGGCAAAGUCUCAAGUUUGUUUGUGCCGCGUGGCGGUCCGCAGGUGUGCGUUGCGUAUUUCACUAGACGCACACGCGCGCAAGUGCUGCCGGCUAUCGUCUAAUUUACCUAAACCUGAGCGAUUCGAUUUUGUAAUAGCGCUCUUAAG
rnacentral:lncRNA from 1 species